UUUAUCUAAAUGAAAUGGUUAGAUAAACAAUGAAAUACAUUUGAAUUAUCUUGUAUAACAAGAUAAUAGAGAUAGGCUAAUAUUGUGGUAUUUGUGUGGAACUCAAACUUUUUUAUGGUUAAGAGUUUGAGCUAUCCAAAAUGCAGUAUAAAAGGGGUCCUUGUGCACACUCUAACAUACGCCAAAAACUUGUCUCUCUCCAUCAGAGCUUUGGUACUUGAGUGCUGCGCAGAAGAUCUCUUUUGGAAGCUCCUACUCACCUCUCUUCAUCCCGAUGGCUGCCCUCAACAUUGAGCAAGGUACUACUUUUGUUCCUUGUGUAUAUAUCAGUACAUGUACAUAUAUGUUGCUAUAUGUCUGAUGCCAUGAUCUAAUGCCUGUUUCUGUGAUCUUGUUUAUAUACAUGUGUUUAUGAUAAGUGUUUUGUCUUUGUGGUUUUAGUCUAAGAUGUGGUAUCAGAGCCACCAAAAUAGUUUCAUAAACCAUUUUACAUGAUCAAAAAUUUCUUACAGAAUUUUCUUUCAUAAAUUUUUUCCGCAAAUUUAUUGAAGAACAAAUUAUAAAAUAAACAAAAUUAGGGGUUGGUUUGACCCAUUGGCAUAUCUCAAACCCUUAAGCAUAUCUCAAACCCUUAAGCAUGUAUUAGUAUGUGUUUGACCCAUUGGCAUAUUUGACCCAAAAGCAUGUUUGACCCACUAGCAUGUAUUGAUUGUAUUCUACCCGCUUUAGAGAAAACACGCGGGUCUCUUCUUUUAACCCGAUUUUGUGACCCGUUUGAAACAAAACCAAAAACUCCACCGUUUUGACAUAACGAACAACUCUAGGAAAACUGAUUUGGGAGAAAGGAUUUUCUGGGUUUUCUGAUCGCAUGCAAACUAUGGAUUCAAGGUAUCUUGUUUAAUUCAAUUGCUGUUUUGAUCCGAAUUGGUGAACAAGAAUCGAUCUCUGUAUUAGAUUAACUCUGUUUUGUAGUGCUAGGAGCAUCCGGGUAUGUUUUGAUAUGAAAUUUUGGGUUUUUUGCUGCAUUCCGUUUUCUGAUUCAAGAACCCUAGUUGCUCUCCUGGGGGGUACUUAAGCUUUAGGAUAGAUGCCCAGAUGAAACUUAUGUGAUAGAUUUAGGUGUUGGAAAACCAUGAAUGAUGAUUCUGAAUUGAGUGACAUGCUUGUAUUCUGUGUGUACUGCUAUGCUCUUAUAGAAUUGUCUGUGAUAUGCCUAUAUCUAUUAUAUGAUGUGUGAUAACAUGUGUUUGCUUAUGUGAUUCUUGGACAUGAAUUGACUGAAUUACAAAUCUCCCUGGUUGAAA
rnacentral:lncRNA from 1 species